CAAGAUUCACAUUUUAAUGACUAUUUUAGUUUUCUUUUUAACUCGCGCAUCGAUCUGCUACAUAAAAACCUCAAGGUCUUUGCCAGCGUAGUUUUCUUUGCGCCUGUCUGAUGAAAAGCGGUAUGUCCAGGUUUCGGACCAGUCUGUCUUCAAGUCGUCGCUAAGAGAGAGGUUUAUUAUAUUAGUGGCCUCGUAAAAGGAAUCACACAAGAUGAUUUUGCUGCUCAUUUUACUUUUGAGUUUCUGUUCUGCUCAGAGUUAUGCCCAGUCCUGCCCUUUAAAAGACGCACCAGUAUUCAGUAGCGAUGAGAAUUUGAGUUUUGAAGAUUGCGGAAGGAGAGUUGAUUUGCCUUAUGAUCACUACCCAUGGAAGGCGGAAAUCUAUUCUGAGCGGUACUACUGCCCUGGAAUUCUCAUUUCCAAGAAGGUUGUUAUCACAUUCGAUGAGGAGAGUGACGGCUUUGUAGAACCAACUGAACAAAUACGAAUUUAUUUAGGGCGCUGCGCUGAGGUAGACAAAGAACAACCGUGCACAGAAAACAAUGAGGGGUUUAGAACUACAGUGGAGAGAAAAGUCAAACUGGAUAUUCAAUCAUUUGACUACUUUAUGUACUUUUUCAUAAUUCCCAAAAUUCCCGAGUUCAGCGAUUGGGUGCGACCGAUUUGUCUUUUCAACAGAGACAACUCAUUGGAUUUCAGCGAGUCACAAGUCUAUCGCGCUUACAGCGGAUACAGCGUUCACAAUUACACUGCUAGAAUUGUACAGUACAGCGAGUGUUUUAAAGAAAAUGUUGAAAAUGAGUUUUGCGACACAGAAAAUACCAUGCUCUGCGUUUUUAAAGAUGGAUCUUACUGGACGAGAGGUUUGGUGAACAUUCACGGCGGGCGGUUUUACUUGCGUGGAGUUUUUUCGAAUAUAACACACCGGGACAGCUACUGUACUUUUGUUGACAUAUUGAAUCACAUGGACACGAUGACCUCCAACGCACCUGACCUUUUCAUGUUGCAAAAAGAAGUACCUGAUGAGCCACUUCCCAAACUGUGGGACGAUGAAAGUUUAAGUAAUCCAGGUUGUGGCACAAAAAGUGAAAAAUUUCGAAGAGAACUGGAGUAUCUGGAGGACAUCCCAGUCCAGCACAUAAUUCACGGUCAAGCGACGCAGCAGGGAAGACACCCUUGGCACGCCGACAUUUCAACACCCCCGAGCACUCGGUGUGGCGGCACAUUAAUUACUCCUAGAGCUGUACUCACAGGUGCAAAAAAAUUCGGCUCACUGUUUGCCAGCUGCAAAUGACAAGGGUGGAUUUAAUGAAAUGGUUGUCACUAUGCGACUCUGGUGACACUCAAGAGCUGGGGAGACAAAAACAAAACCCCAGCAAGUUUAUCAUUCAUCCCAACUUCUCUCCAUCUACUUAUGCCAACGACAUUGGUUUGCUUCUCUUUGAUGCCGAUUUCAACAUCACCGAUUUCGUGCGACCUAUUUGUUUGUGGAGCGAAGAUUCAAAUUUCAC